rnacentral:tRNA from 1 species
UAGAUGAUUAGUCUAAUACAAAACAUUUGAUUUCGGCUCAAAAAACUGUGGUUUAAGUCCACAAUUAUCUAA